rnacentral:rRNA from 1 species
GACGAACGCUGGCGGCGUGCUUAACACAUGCAAGUCGAACGGAAAGGCACUGCUUUUGUGGGGUGCUCGAGUGGCGAACGGGUGAGUAACACGUGAGUAACCUGCCCUUGACUUUGGGAUAACUUCAGGAAACUGGGGCUAAUACCGGAUAGGAGCUCCUGCUGCAUGGUGGGGGUUGGAAAGUUUCGGCGGUUGGGGAUGGACUCGCGGCUUAUCAGCUUGUUGGUGGGGUAGUGGCUUACCAAGGCUUUGACGGGUAGCCGGCCUGAGAGGGUGACCGGCCACAUUGGGACUGAGAUACGGCCCAGACUCCUACGGGAGGCAGCAGUGGGGAAUAUUGCACAAUGGGCGGAAGCCUGAUGCAGCAACGCCGCGUGCGGGAUGACGGCCUUCGGGUUGUAAACCGCUUUCGCCUGUGACGAAGCGUGAGCGACGGUAAUGGGUAAAGAAGCACCGGCUAACUACGUG